UACGGAGGGUGCUAGCGUUGUCCGGAAUUAUUGGGCGUAAAGGGCUCGUAGGCGGUCUGUCACGUCGGGAGUGAAAACUCAGGGCUUAACCCUGAGCCUGCUUCCGAUACGGGCUGACUAGAGGUAUGCAGGGGAGAACGGAAUUCCUGGUGUAGCGGUGAAAUGCGCAGAUAUCAGGAGGAACACCGGUGGCGAAGGCGGUUCUCUGGGCAUUACCUGACGCUGAGGAGCGAAAGUGUGGGGAGCGAACAGG
rnacentral:rRNA from 1 species